GCACCGGUGGCGAAGUGGCUAACGCGCAGGUCUGCAAAACCUGUACUCGCGGGUUCAAUCCCCGCCCGGUGCUCCA
rnacentral:tRNA from 1 species